AUGUCUUCACUCAUGGCUUUCUCUCAGGGACCCCGUCACUUCCCUCGACCCAGCCUCUUCUGGGGACUGCUAAGCCAUGGGAGAGAUCAGUACAUGUGUGAACUCCAAAAGGAUUCAGUUCUUACUGAAUGUAGCCUCCACGUCCCUAAACAUUCUAUGACAGUUAGAAGCCACCACUCUGCCCACGGCACAUGGGACCUUGCACUGGAGUUACCCAGGAGAAAACCAGCCUGUGAUGUGCUGGUUUUAAAGCUACAGUCAUCUACAGGUUGAAAACACCACCAUCAUCAUCAUCAUUGUGACUGAAAUAACUGCAGGCUCCACACCCAGCAGGGCCUGAACUCCUGAUCCUGAGAUCCUGAGUCAGAUGCUCAGCCACCUGAGCCACCCGGGGGCCCUGGUUCUUUUAAUUUCAAUGAAGCUCCAUAGACACUCUCACCAACCAAACGAGGAGAUUCCCAUGGUAAGUCACAGAGGGCCUCUAACUGAGGGUAGCAGGCUAUUGAACAAAAUGAAGUAGAAAAGCAAGCAACGGAGGCGCCAGGAUGGCACUUAUAUCCUCACUUACAUCCGCACCCAGCCUCUGGUAGAACCACGCCUGUGUGCAUCACGCACUCCAUAAAUAUCUGUCGUUUGAUUCACCAGUUUUUUUCGGACUAAUGUUGUUGUGAAAAACGGUAAAAUGAAUUUUUACUUUCAUUUUCAUUUUCUACUGUGUGUCAUCAUCUUACAAAUCCAUGCUGUCUCGGCCAAUGCUAUCACUUGGCCAUGGUGCAGGCUGCAGCCCCACCCCCAGGAACAUGAAAGCCUCCACGGGAGUGAGAAGAUGGUAAAUAAAUUACUCCAGCCCCCCUGCUGUGCAGGUUUCUGGAAGGCCAGGGCCUGAGGCCCUCAGUCCCUCAUAGACCUUGGCCUGCCAACCUGAAGUAGCUAACACCAAUGCACAGGCUCCUAAAGAUGCUUUCUUCACAUUCCCUUCCCUGGGAGGAAAUCCCUCCAGGCCUUUGACUUCUCUCAGCAGGAGACUUCCUUUUGGUAUAAAAAGGUAAUGCUUUCCUGGAAGUAAGGUAGACAUGGCCAGAAAGCUCUACCCUUACAGUAAAUAGGGGCUUUCUAAAUAGACAUUUCUAAAGAAUGGGUUCAUAGCAGCAAUGUCCACAGUUGCCAAACUGCGGAAAGAGCCGAGAUGCCCCUUCAACGGACGAAUGGAUAAAGGAGAUAUGGUCCAUAUAUGCAAUGGAAUAUUACUCAACCAUCAGAAAGGACGAACACCCAACUUUGGCAUCAACAUGAAUGGGACUGGAGAUUAUGCUGAGUGAAAUAAGUCAAGCAGAGAGAGUCAAUUAUCAUAUGGUUUCACUUGUGGAACAUAAGGAAUAACGUGGAAGACAUUAGGAGAAGGAAAGGAAAAGUAAAUUGGGGGAAAUCGGAGAGGGAGGCGAACCAUGAGAGACUGCAGACUCUGAGAAACAAACUGAAGGUUUUAGAGUGGGGGAGGGAGGAGGGAUGGGUGGGUAUUAAGGAGGCAUGUAUUGCCUGGAGCACUGGGUGUGUUGCAUAAACAAUGACUCUUGGAACACUGAAAAAAUAAAAUUAAAUUAAAAAUAAAAAAGAACGGGUAAUUAAGGGCUACCUGGAGACCAGGAUCCUCAUAUUUGAUCAACCCUCAAAUCUAAACACUCAAAAGAGAACUUUUAAUAAUUUUGAGCUAAGAAAGAAGAGAGUGGGUAGAUGACACAAGAGCAGAUCUGUCUCAGGAUAGCCUGCAUGGAUUAGUGCUAGGGAGCAGAACACUACAUUUAAUAAGUGCGAGGCAAUGUGGCAGGGAAGGAAGAACAGCCCGACUAAGUAUUAUUUAAGUGGUAUUGAAUUAGUUGGAAAGAUAUCUUGAGGUACUGAUAGGGGCGGCAUGUAAAUUGGCAGUUCAGCCUGAAAUGAGAAGGCACGACUUGCUCACACAGAGGGCUCUAUUUUAUAGAAACUGCAUUUGCUAUUAUGUUUAAAGGAAAAAUCUUAGCACAUUCAUGAUGUUGUUUAACUUGGACUACCCUGAAAGUAAGCGUUCACCGAAGCCAAGGAUCAGCAAGAAGACCUGUCCACCUCUGAUGGCCGCAAUUUAUUUUUUCAACUUAAAUUUGACCAGGGCCAUUAUGGUCUCUGUCAUUCAUUCAUUCAACC
ensembl:lincRNA